ensembl:misc_RNA 7SK 7SK RNA
GAAUGUGAGGGUGAUCUGGCUACAACAUCUGUCACUUCACUGAUCACCAGGGAUGAUUCAGCUCAUCUGGCUGGCUAGGCAGGCAUCUCUUUCUCUGUCACUGCUGCAUGGUCUCCUGUUAAAGAUGAUGACCUUCCAGGUAGAGUAGGACUCUUUCCUUGGCCAAGGGUGUACAGAGAGCUGGACUUCCUGAUAGACCCUCCAAACAAGAUCUCAAGGUAAUAGCUGGAUUUUGUUUGUCAACUCCAUGUGCAAAGCCCAUCAGGUCCCCAUGGGUUUCAAGUGGACCACGUAGGA